UACGUAGGGGGGCAAGCGUUGUCCGGAAUCAUUGGGCGUAAAGAGCGUGUAGGCGGCCAGAUAAGUCCGCUGUGAAAUCUCGAGGCUCAACUUCGAGCUGUCGGUGGAAACUGUCUGGCUAGAGUCCGGAAGAGGAGAAUGGAAUUCCUGGUGUAGCGGUGAAAUGCGCAGAUAUCAGGAAGAACACCCGUGGCGAAGGCGGUUCUCUGGGACGGUACUGACGCUGAGUGAGCGAAAGCCAGGGGAGCAAACGGG
rnacentral:rRNA from 1 species